rnacentral:rRNA from 1 species
GAUGAACGCUAGCUACAGGCUUAACACAUGCAAGUCGAGGGGCAGCAUGAACAUAGCUUGCUAUGUUUGAUGGCGACCGGCGCACGGGUGCGUAACGCGUAUCCAACCUUCCCGUUACUCAGGGAUAGCCUUCCGAAAGGGAGAUUAAUACCUGAUGGUGUUCAAAUUCCGCAUGUUAUUUGAACUAAAGAUUUAUCGGUAACGGAUGGGGAUGCGUGACAUUAGGUAGAUGGCGGGGUAACGGCCCACCAUGCCUACGAUGUCUAGGGGUUCUGAGAGGAAGGUCCCCCACACUGGAACUGAGACACGGUCCAGACUCCUACGGGAGGCAGCAGUGAGGAAUAUUGGUCAAUGGUCUGACGACUGAACCAGCCAUGCCGCGUGAAGGUCACGGCCCUAUGGGUCUUAAACUUCUUUUGCAAGGGAGCAAUAAGGCGCACGUGUGCGUCGAUGAGAGUACCUUGCGAAUAAGCAUCGGCUAACUCCGUG